rnacentral:lncRNA from 1 species
UUAAUUUGGGAAACUAUAAAUAUUUUAAUUAUUAAUUAUUUUUGUCCACUCACUCUAACGUUAUUAAAUGUUUUCCCCUGGGCCCUCGUUUAAAUUGCCCAGUCUGCAGAGUUCGGGUUGGAUCUAGUAGGAGACGAGGCAUAGUCACCCGCUUUUCGGCUAGUUUUCAUCAGUAGGUUACCUGUUCAACCUACUCGUGUUUUCUUGCUUCCGCUUGUGUUUAGUAGCUCUGAAUACUUUAGAAUUUUUGUAUAUUAUGUGAUAUUCAAAAGCGUUAAAUUAAGAGUGUAAUAUGAAAUUUUCGACUUAGGGUUGUCCAUCUGCAAGGGAGAUUUGCUUAAUCUUUUCAGUAAAUUUUCCUUGGAGGUGGUCCCCGCACGACUUACUCUGGGUUUCAGGGUGAAAUUCGGGGUGGGUCGUGUCAAUGUGGUCCGGUACAGUUUAGGUGGAUGUACCCUUUUGAGAGGUAACCUAAUUAAAGCAUUUUCGUACCCUUUUGACUUAAUUAAUCUUGCUUGCAAACGUUACUUUUUUGUUUUUUCUGUUUGUUGACUUUUUUUUUGUUUUCUUAAACUUGUUAGAUAUAUGAAGGUACUUAAGGAUUAUCUAUAGCUGAAAACUAUUUAGCUGAUGAGUGCAUGAGGUUUUGUGGUCGAUCCAUGAAACAAGUAGAUGCGAUUAGUUCUAAAAGGAAACGUAAUGAAGCUGUUGAAGAUGAAACUAUUGUAGAAGGGUCUAUCUUUCGUUGUAUACUUUCGUUGUAUACGAAACUAUUCUCAACAGUUCAAUACUUUCGUUGUAUAAGUCGCUGCGUAGAUCAAUGCCUUGCGCGGCAUACGCGGCAUCGACAAGUCCACUCAGACAACAAACAAUAUAACAUUUUCAUUGUAUUUUUACCCCUUUCAGACAACUGUUGGUUUUCAUUUCCUCCGUUGUGUGUUUUUCAGUAAGCUACAACAGUUUAUUCCCUAUCUUUACUGUUGUGUGACGUUGAAUAACCUACAACUAAAAUAUUUGGACCGUUGUAUCACACAAUAGAUAUAACAUUCUGCUUUCUUGUUUGAUGAGAAUCAUACAACAGUUGCAUUUUCAUGUGAACAGACUUUGUUGUCCAAGUUUUACACACACAAGCAUCACAAAAUAAACUGCUGAACAAAUUGACUGAUACUAGGGGUGGGCAUGGGACGGGAUGGGACGGGAUUGAGGUCAUCCCACAUCCCGUCCCGGUUGUUACACAUGGGAUGGGAUCGGGACAGGCCUUACAUUUUUCAGACUCAAUCCCGCCGGGCCUAAUCCCAGAUGGGACGGGACGGGAUCGGGAUGGGACGGGCCCAAUCCCGGCCAUCCUGCAUCAGUUUCUUUUCUUCUAGAAAUCGUACAGUUACAUUUGAAAUUUCAUCUAGGUGUCUUCAUAAGAUUUGUAGUAGACAUCUUAAGGUUCAUUCCAGAAUUUGAAUCACGUGAAAACUAUUUUUCUAGAUUAAGUUAUGGUUUCUUAAAGUUUAGGGUCUAUAUCAGUAAAUUCUGAGAUUUGAACCAGUUGGCUUCUUUUCGAAAACUGUACAAAUUGGUUCGUUAUAUGAGUUUAGUGUCUUCA